rnacentral:tRNA from 1 species
UCCCUGGUGGUCCAGCAGCUAAGACUCUGCCCUCCCAAUGCAGGGGGCCUGGGUUCCAUCCCUGGUCAGGGAA